UUAAAGGAAUUGACGGGGCCCGCACAAGCGGUGGAGCAUGUGGUUUAAUUCGAUGCAACGCGAAGAACCUUACCUGGGCUUGACAUCCCGAGAAUCCCCUGGAAACAGGGAGUGCCCUUCGGGGAGCUCGGAGACAGGUGCUGCAUGGCUGUCGUCAGCUCGUGUCGUGAGAUGUUGGGUUAAGUCCCGCAACGAGCGCAACCCUUGUCUUUAAUUGCCAUCAUUGAGUUGGGCACUUUAAAGAGACUGCCGGUGUUAAACCGGAGGAAGGUGGGGAUGACGUCAAGUCCUCAUGGCCCUUAUAGGUGGGGCUACACACGUCAUACAAUGGAUGGUACAAAGGGUCGCCAACCCGCGAGGGGGAGCCAAUCCCAUAAAGCCAUUCGUAGUCCGGAUCGCAGUCUGCAACUCGACUGCGUGAAGUCGGAAUCGCUAGUAAUCGUGGAUCAGAAUGUCACGGUGAAUACGUUCCCGGGUCUU
rnacentral:rRNA from 1 species